rnacentral:rRNA from 1 species
AUGAACGCUAGCUACAGGCUUAACACAUGCAAGUCGAGGGGCAGCAUGGUCUUAGCUUGCUAAGGCCGAUGGCGACCGGCGCACGGGUGAGUAACACGUAUCCAACCUGCCGUCUACUCUUGGACAGCCUUCUGAAAGGAAGAUUAAUACAAGAUGGCAUCAUGAGUCCGCAUGUUCACAUGAUUAAAGGUAUUCCGGUAGACGAUGGGGAUGCGUUCCAUUAGAUAGUAGGCGGGGUAACGGCCCACCUAGUCUUCGAUGGAUAGGGGUUCUGAGAGGAAGGUCCCCCACAUUGGAACUGAGACACGGUCCAAACUCCUACGGGAGGCAGCAGUGAGGAAUAUUGGUCAAUGGGCGAGAGCCUGAACCAGCCAAGUAGCGUGAAGGAUGACUGCCCUAUGGGUUGUAAACUUCUUUUAUAAAGGAAUAAAGUCGGGUAUGGAUACCCGUUUGCAUGUACUUUAUGAAUAAGGAUCGGCUAACUCCGUGCCAGCAGCCGCGGUAAUACGGAGGAUCCGAGCGUUAUCCGGAUUUAUUGGGUUUAAAGGGAGCGUAGAUGGAUGUUUAAGUCAGUUGUGAAAGUUUGCGGCUCAACCGUAAAAUUGCAGUUGAUACUGGAUAUCUUGAGUGCAGUUGAGGCAGGCGGAAUUCGUGGUGUAGCGGUGAAAUGCUUAGAUAUCACGAAGAACUCCGAUUGCGAAGGCAGCCUGCUAAGCUGCAACUGACAUUGAGGCUCGAAAGUGUGGGUAUCAAACAGGAUUAGAUACCCUGGUAGUCCACACGGUAAACGAUGAAUACUCGCUGUUUGCGAUAUACGGCAAGCGGCCAAGCGAAAGCGUUAAGUAUUCCACCUGGGGAGUACGCCGGCAACGGUGAAACUCAAAGGAAUUGACGGGGGCCCGCACAAGCGGAGGAACAUGUGGUUUAAUUCGAUGAUACGCGAGGAACCUUACCCGGGCUUAAAUUGCAGAUGAAUUACGGUGAAAGCCGUAAGCCGCAAGGCAUCUGUGAAGGUGCUGCAUGGUUGUCGUCAGCUCGUGCCGUGAGGUGUCGGCUUAAGUGCCAUAACGAGCGCAACCCUUAUCGAUAGUUACCAUCAGGUUAUGCUGGGGACUCUGUCGAGACUGCCGUCGUAAGAUGUGAGGAAGGUGGGGAUGACGUCAAAUCAGCACGGCCCUUACGUCCGGGGCUACACACGUGUUACAAUGGGGGGUACAGAGGGCCGCUACCACGCGAGUGGAUGCCAAUCCCCAAAACCUCUCUCAGUUCGGACUGGAGUCUGCAACCCGACUCCACGAAGCUGGAUUCGCUAGUAAUCGCGCAUCAGCCACGGCGCGGUGAAUACGUUCCCGGGCCUUGUACACACCGCCCGUCAAGCCAUGGGAGCCGGGGGUACCUGAAGUGCGUAACCGCGAGGAGCGCCCUAGGGUAAAACUGGUGACUGGGGCU